rnacentral:misc_RNA from 1 species
AGCUCGGCAACACCAUGGCGCCGGCAGCGCUAGCCGCUCCCAUCGCGUCCAUUUCCCCCAGCUCCGCCGGGAGGGUCACCGCCGCCGCCGCCGGCCUCCGCUCUGCCAGGAUGGCCAGCUCACCUGUAGCCCAGCCCAUUGGCGAGGCAGUUGUGUUACGGCCCAACCAGAUGUUCAGAUCAGUGCUGCGACAGCGGAGGCGUCUGGUGGUCCGAAGCAGCAGCUCAGAUGAAACCAAUUCCACCACCGAAGAGAAGACGCCAUUCGGAUACACGAGGAAGGACGUGCUGCUCAUCGGCGUCGGCGUGACACUCUUAGGCUACGGCCUCAAAUACGGGCUGGAGCUGGUCGGAGUCGAUCCCUUGCAAGCAGGAAACGCCGUCCAGCUGAUCAUCGUGCUCGGGAUGACGGUGGGGUGGAUCUCGACGUACAUGUUCAGGGUGGCCAACAAGGACAUGACCUACGCCCAGCAGCUCAGGGACUAUGAGAAGCAAGUCAUGGAGAAACGAUUGGAGAGCUUGACAGAGGCUGAACUGCAAGUUCUGCUCGAGCAAGUAGAGGAAGAGAAGCAGCGGCUGACUCCAGUGAGGGAUCAGGGUGUUACCUUCACUAGGAAAACGGAGGAUCAGGCGAAUGCCAGCUAGAACACCUUGAUUCUGUAAUUAGCUAGCUCUCCUGCACUGUUAGAUAGCUUGAAUUAAGAACUAGCGGUGGAUGUGGAUCGUACGUCAUACGAAU